rnacentral:rRNA from 1 species
AGAGAAGACAUGCGCGCAUAUCAAUAAGCGGAGGAAAAGAAACUAACAAGGAUUCCCUUAGUAACGGCGAGUGAAGCGGGAAGAGCUCAAAUUUGAAAUCUUCAAGGUUUUACCUUGACGAAUUGUAGUUUAAAGAAGUGUUUUCUGCUGAAGUUUUGGUAAAAGUUCUUUGGAAUAGGACAUCAUAGAGGGUGAGAAUCCCGUAUUUGACCAUUAUUUUCAGCUUUGUGAUACACUUUCAAAGAGUCGGAUUGUUUGGGAAUGCAGUCCAAAAUGGGUGGUAAAUUUCAUCUAAAGCUAAAUAUUGGCGAGAGACCGAUAGCGAACAAGUACCGUGAGGGAAAGAUGAAAAGAACUUUGAAAAGAGAGUUAAACAGUACGUGAAAUUGUCAAAAGGGAAGCGUUUGACACCAGUGUUGUUUUCUCGAAAAUCAAUUAAAAAUGGCUCGAUUUUGUAUUGUUGAGACCUUAAAAGCUCACUGUACAUUUUUCGUGUCUUUUUUAAUGCACUUUUCGUUUAACAAGUCAACAUCAGUUUCUUUUGUCGUAAAAGGGUCAUUGGAAGGUGGCUUUCUUUUCGGAGAAAGUGUUUAUAGCCUUUGGCCUCUGCAAUCGGAGAGACUGAGGUCUGCAGCGUAGACUCUUCGGGGUUAGAUACAUUUGUGCUAAGUUAUAGCUUUUUAUAGGACAACUUGUUGACUAUAAUUAGUCUUGUAGCUUACUCGCUUAUGCUAUUUUACCUACGCUUAGGAUGUUGAAGUCAUCGUAUCGCGC